GACGAACGCUGGCGGCGUGCUUAACACAUGCAAGUCGAACGGAAAGGCCCUGCUUUUGUGGGGUGCUCGAGUGGCGAACGGGUGAGUAACACGUGAGUAACCUGCCCUUGACUUUGGGAUAACUUCAGGAAACUGGGGCUAAUACCGGAUAGGAGCUCCUGCUGCAUGGUGGGGGUUGGAAAGUGUCGGCGGUUGGGGAUGGACUCGCGGCUUAUCAGCUUGUUGGUGGGGUAGUGGCUUACCAAGGCUUUGACGGGUAGCCGGCCUGAGAGGGUGACCGGCCACAUUGGGACUGAGAUACGGCCCAGACUGCUACGGGAGGCAGCAGUGGGGAAUAUUGCACAAUGGGCGGAAGCCUGAUGCAGCAACGCCGCGUGCGGGAUGACGGCCUUCGGGUUGUAAACCGCUUUCGCCUGUGACGAAGCGUGAGUGACGGUAAUGGGUAAAGAAGCACCGGCUAACUACGUG
rnacentral:rRNA from 1 species